rnacentral:tRNA from 1 species
AAGACUUUAAGUUAAGAAAACUAUAUACCUUCAAAGUAUAAAUUAUAUAAAAAUAAGUCUUA